UACGAAGGGGGCUAGCGUUGCUCGGAAUUACUGGGCGUAAAGGGCGCGUAGGCGGCACUGUUAGUCAGGCGUGAAAUUCCUGGGCUCAACCUGGGGACUGCGCUUGAUACGGCAGAGCUUGAGGAUGGAAGAGGGUCGCGGAAUUCCCAGUGUAGAGGUGAAAUUCGUAGAUAUUGAGAAGAACACCGGUGGCGAAGGCGGCGACCUGGUCCAUUACUGACGCUGAGGCGCGACAGCGUGGGGAGCAAACAGG
rnacentral:rRNA from 1 species